CAAUAGCGUAUAUUAAAGCUGUUGCGGUUAAAAAGCUCGUAGUUGGAUUUCUGUCAAGGACAACCGGUCCGCCCUCCGGGUGAGCACAUAGUUUGGUCUUGACAUCUUGCUGGAAGCUGUUGCUGCACUUGGCUGUGUGGCGCAGUGUUCAGCACUUUCACUUUGAGGAAAUUGGAGUGUUUCAAGCAGGCACAUGCCUUUGGACACAGUAGCAUGGAAUAAUUAGAUUGGGCUUUUGCUCCAAUUUGUCGGUUUCUGGAGCUGAGGUGAGUAUUAAUGGGGAUUGUUGGGGGCAUCCGAAUUUAGCCGUCAGAGGUGAAAUUCUUGGAUCUGCUAAAGACGGACAACUGCGAAAGCGUUUGCCCAGGAUGUUUUCAUUGA
rnacentral:rRNA from 1 species